rnacentral:tRNA from 1 species
GUCCCCAUCGUCUAGGGGUUAGGACAUAUGAUUCUCAGUCAUAGAACCGCGGUUCGAAUCCGCGUGGGGAUG